rnacentral:rRNA from 1 species
GAANGGNUGAGUAACACGUGGGCAAUCUGCCCUUCACUCUGGGACAAGCCCUGGAAACGGGGUCUAAUACCGGAUACUGACCCUCGCAGGCAUCUGCGAGGUUCGAAAGCUCCGGCGGUGAAGGAUGAGCCCGCGGCCUAUCAGCUUGUUGGUGAGGUAAUGGCUCACCAAGGCGACGACGGGUAGCCGGCCUGAGAGGGCGACCGGCCACACUGGGACUGAGACACGGCCCAGACUCCUACGGGAGGCAGCAGUGGGGAAUAUUGCACAAUGGGCGAAAGCCUGAUGCACCCACGCCGCGUGAGGGAUGACGGCCUUCGGGUUGUAAACCUCUUUCAGCAGGGAAGAAGCGAAAGUGACGGUACCUGCANAANAAGCGCCGGCUAACUACGUGCCAGCAGCCGCGGUAAUACGUAGGGCGCAAGCGUUGUCCGGAAUUAUUGGGCGUAAAGAGCUCGCAGGCGGCUUGUCACCUCGGUUGUGAAAGCCCGGGGCUUAACCNCGGGUCUGCAUUCUACACCGGCAGGCUAGAGUUCGGUAGGGUACAUCGGAAUUUCUGCUGUAGCGGUGAAAUGCNCAAUAUCANGANNAANACCGGUGGCGAAGGCGGAUCUCUGGGNCNAUACUGCCNCUGAGGAGNAAA